CGGCGGGGCGGAUCGGAGGCGGAUCGGAGGAGGAGAGCUCUCCGCCCAGCGCUGGAAAAAGGUAAGUUAUUACCCCUUUCCCCCUUCCAGAGCCGGGCGGGAGGGGGUCCCUGAGGGUGGGGGCACCCUCAGGGCACUAUAGUGCCAGGAAAACAAGUAUGUUUUCCUGGCACUAUAGUGGUCCUUUAAACAUAAAAAAUUGUGCUAGUUUUCUCAUGUACCUCUAUGUCUAAAUGUCUAUAUAACGUGUUGGAGGAUUGCCUUUGGGGUACCUCACAACUGUCUGUUAUGAGC